GACGAGCCACACAAACGUUAUUCGGAAUUACUGGGCUUAAAGGGUGCGUAGGCUGCGCGGAAAGUGGGGUGUGAAAUCCCUCAGCUCAACUGAGGAACUGCGCUCCAAACUACCGUGCUUGAGUGAGACAGAGGUAAGCGGAACUUCGGGUGGAGCGGUGAAAUGCGUUGAUAUCCGAAGGAACACCGGUGGCGAAAGCGGCUUACUGGGUCUCAACUGACGCUGAUGCACGAAAGCUAGGGUAGCAAACGGG
rnacentral:rRNA from 1 species